rnacentral:rRNA from 1 species
GAUGAACGCUGGCGGCGUGCUUAACACAUGCAAGUCGAACGGAAAGGCUCCUGCUUGCAGGGGUACUCGAGUGGCGAACGGGUGAGUAACACGUGGGUGAUCUGCCCUGCACUUCGGGAUAAGCCUGGGAAACUGGGUCUAAUACCGGAUAGGACGAUGUUUUGGAUGCCAUUGUGGAAAGUUUUUUCGGUGUGGGAUGAGCUCGCGGCCUAUCAGCUUGUUGGUGGGGUAAUGGCCUACCAAGGCGUCGACGGGUAGCCGGCCUGAGAGGGUGUACGGCCACAUUGGGACUGAGAUACGGCGCAGACGCCUACGGGAGGCAGCAGUGGGGAAUAUUGCACAAUGGGCGCAAGCCUGAUGCAGCGACGCCGCGUGGGGGAUGACGGCCUUCGGGUUGUAAACUCCUUUCGCUAGGGACGAAGCGCAAGUGACGGUACCUGGAGAAGAAGCACCGGCUAACUACGUG